rnacentral:lncRNA from 1 species
GGUCUUUUACGUCGGCCUUCGCGAGCGUCUGGGCGGGUGGUAGGUGAGUGGGUAUUGCGGGCUAGUAUCCGAGCAAAAGAUGGUGGCGCAGGCCGAGUUAAGAGCUUUAAUCCUGUGAAGACAUCUUAGUGAAGAGUUUAGAGUGCUGAGAGUUGAAAGCUUGCACGUGGGAAACGUGCGGCCGGACUGCCACAUGUACUGAGGUUGAGUCGUGACGGCCACAGGCUCCGAGUUUUGGCGUGAGGAACCGCUGAUCGGCCACGGGCGCCGAACUUGCUGGCCUCCGGCAUGUGCCUGAGCGGCGGCGGAAAAACCACCUUAAUUGGGGCGGAGGGUUAGUUUUAACAGCAAAGGGCCUUUACUAAAAUGGCGAAGGCCUUCCGUCGGCGUUGUUUUAAAAUGGGAAGCCUCGACCCUGUAUUGAAACUGAGCUGUUCGAAGGCGGCGUUGUGUGCAAUUCGGAUUAAUGAAGGGGAAGGGUUUUGUGUGGAAAAACGCCUUGGAGUGUGACAUUUCUGCGAGAAUGCUUAAAUACCGAUUUCCCGCAGGAACAAUGGCGCUGUCUUCAGUGGCACAGUGGAGCAGCUCUGAAGAUGCAAAGAUACACGAAAAAACUUCCAGAACAUCUGGGAGAAUAUUUAAUGGAAAAUCGCUUGGUUAAAACCUGACACUUUUAACAGUGAGGGUCGCUGUCUGCCCAUUGAUAGAGGCCAGAUUGUCUUGGAAGUUCCAAAGUUGCAACGAUUUCUGGUAUUCCAGUCAGAGCAUAUGCUUUAGAGAUACUUUACAUGCAUUAAAUGAAAUAAUGCAGGCCAGAUGAGGUGGCUCAUGCCUAUAAUUCCAGCACUCUGGGAGGCCGAGGUGGGCAGAUCACCAAAUGUCAGGAGUUCAAGUCCAGCCUGGCCAACAUGUUAGUUGAAUCCAUGGACAUGAAACCCACAGAUAUAGAGGGUUGGCCCGGUGCAGUGGCUCACGCCUGUAAUCCCAGCACUUUGGGAGGCCAAGGCGGGUGGAUCACCUGAGGUCAGAAGCUUGAGACCAGCCUGGCCAACAUGGGUACUGCUUUCUCUUGCUGCAGCUUGCUUCCUCCCUCAGGUAUGAAGUUAAGGUAACAUGAAGGAGGAUAUUGAAUGUUCCUAACACAAAGAAAUGAUAAAUGUUUGAGAUGGUGGAUGUACUAAUUGCCCUGAUCUGAUGACUAUACAUUAUAUAUAUUGAAACAUCAGUAUGUACCCCAUGAAUAUGUACAAUUAUAUGUCAACUUAAACACAUUUAAAAGUAAAAAAAAAAAAA